rnacentral:rRNA from 1 species
AUUGAACGCUGGCGGCAGGCCUGACUCAUGCAAGUCGAGCGAGCGGCGGACGGGUGAGUAAUGUCUGGGAAACUGCCUGAUGGAGGGGGAUAACUACUGGACACGGUAGCUAAUACCGCAUACCAUCUGGUGAGCGCAGAUGGGAGUAGCGGGUAGGUGGGGUAACGGCUCACCUUGGCGACGAUCCCUAGCUGUUCUGAGAAGAUGGCCAGCCAAACUGGAACGGAGGCACGGUCCAGACUCCAACGGUAGGCAGCAGUGGGGAAUAUUGCACGAUGGGGGGAAGCCUGAUGCAGCCAUGCCGCGUGUGUGUAGAAGGCCUUCGGGCUGUAAAGCACCUUCAGCGGGGAGGCUUUACCCGCAGAAGAAGCACCGGCUAACUCCGUGCCAGCCGCCGCGGUAGUAC